GAGUCAGAGAGGGUGGUGGAGGCGGCGAGGGCAGGGGACAGGCGGCGGCGGGGGGAAGCGAUUUGAGGUGGCGGCGACGAACGACACACAGAAUGGCUGCUAGGUUCGGGGAGUGAUAAACAAGUAAACACCCCGCGCGUUGCUGCGGGCAAAAAGGAGAUCUAAAUUUAAUUUACAUUCAAGUAUUUCAAUUUGCCAUAUGGUAAGGUCUAUUUGAAUUAUGUAAAUUGAGAAAGAAAAACUGACACCAAAUAUUAAGCAUGGCACAUAAAAAUUCGUAAGCAACAGUAACGUUUCAUGAAACCGGAAGGUACACCAGCUCUUCAAUUCUACACUUAUCCAACAUUCUAACUAAUGUUUCUCGAAUGCUAUACCACAAAGAAAGAUUGAAGCAAGAGUAGGUCCACCAAUGAGAUAUUCACCUACUUAAACCAUAGCCCAUAUAUAUAGCUGCAUGUGUGUUUUUCCUUCUAAGUUUGAAAUAAUGAAAUUGCAACUGUUUUUCCUUCUAAGGUCGGCAGGUACCUCAGAAGGGAAAUAACAUGGCUAAUGAAAAGUAGUGUUUUCUGAAAAGGAUAGUUUCCAAUGGAAUUUGUACAAUAUUAUUAUGCAAAGGAUUGCUUUCUGGAAGUAAAGAAACUGGUCAGGACACAUGUAAAUAGAUGCAUCAAGACACAAUACGUCUUAGAAGGGUUUGCCUAUUAG